UGCUGCAUGGCUGUCGUCAGCGUCGUGUCGUGAGAUGUUGGGUUAAGUCCCGUAACGAGCGCAACCCUUGUCCUUAGUUACCAGCACGUUAUGGUGGGCACUCUAAGGAGACUGCCGGUGACAAACCGGAGGAAGGUGGGGAUGACGUCAAGUCAUCAUGGCCCUUACGGCCUGGGCUACACACGUGCUACAAUGGUCGGUACAAAGGGUUGCCAAGCCGCGAGGUGGAGCUAAUCCCAUAAAACCGAUCGUAGUCCGAAUCGCAGUCUGCAACUCGACUGCGUGAAGGUCGGAAUCGCUAGUAAUCGUGAAUCAGAAUGUCACGGUGAAUACGUUCCCGGGCCUU
rnacentral:rRNA from 1 species